CUCUUCUCCUCUCCGAGCUAUUUGAAGACUCUAGGAGAGUUUAGAAUUAAAUAUUACGUUAAAUCAAGUUUGAGAUUGAAGUUUUAAAGUAGACUGGAUGUUUAGUAAUCAAAAGUGACUAAGAAGUUAUCGGGUCUGCCUGCGGAUGCCCUUGAAGGACAAGAAUGGGUGAUUUGCAGCUCAUGGUUGGUUAGAAGCAGAGUAAAACAGUUACAUCAUUAUACUGCACUGAAGCACGUGCUUCCACAGUUAAAUAACCUAAAUUACUCUUAUGAAUUAAGAGAAGAGAGUCAAAGAGCUGUAUCUUGGAAGAAACUGGCAUGUUGCACUUAAAGGACUAGAGAAGAGAAGGAUGGAGUCAUAUAGAGACUCAACGUGACGGAGGCUCGCUCCCUCCAUGCCUCUGACCAACCAGAGAAGCCAUUCACCUCUGCCAGGAGUACAAGUAUAGUUACAAAGUGCGCUAUUCACAGCUCUAACCACUGGAAGUACUUGCUUUAUCUUCUGUCCUUAAGGAAUACUCCAGUGUGAAAUUGUAACAGUCCAUCUCCAG
rnacentral:lncRNA from 1 species